rnacentral:rRNA from 1 species
GACGAACGCUGGCGGCGUGCUUAACACAUGCAAGUCGAACGGAGCGGCGAACGGGCGAGUAACGCGUGAGUAACUGCCCCCCUCCCUGGGAUAACAGUUGGAUACGGCUGCUAAUACCGGAUAGUGGGGGAUGACUCGCGUCAUAUCAGAUUGUUGGGGGGGUAGUGGCCUACCAAGGCGACGACGGGUAGCCGGCCUGAGAGGGGGACCGGCCACAGAGGGUUGGGGUACGAGCCAAACGCCUACGGGAGCAAGGAGUGGGGAAUAUAGCACAAUGGGGGAAACCCAGGUGCAGCGCCGCCGCGUGGGGGAUGACGGCCGUCGGGUUGUAACCGCUUUCAGCCAUGACGCGGUAGUGGCAGAAGAAGCACCGGCUAACUACGUGCCAGCAGCCGCGGUAAUUC